rnacentral:rRNA from 1 species
CAUUACACAAAUAUGAAGCCGGACUGGGAUAGGGCCUCGCUGCCUUGCCCGUCUGGCGCCAUAUUCACCCAUGUCUUUUUGCGUACUACUUGUUUCCUUGGCGGGUCCGCCCGCCAAUUGGACCUUAUUCAAACCUUUUUUUCAGUUGCAAUCAGCGUCAGCAAAACAAAUGUAAUCAAUUACAACUUUCAACAACGGAUCUCUUGGUUCUGGCAUCGAUGAAGAACGCAGCGAAAUGCGAUAAGUAGUGUGAAUUGCAGAAUUCAGUGAAUCAUCGAAUCUUUGAACGCACAUUGCGCCCUUUGGUAUUCCAAAGGGCAUGCCUGUUCGAGCGUCAUUUGUACCCUCAAGCUUUGCUUGGUGUUGGGCGUCUUGUCUCUCUCCCGAGACUCGCCUUAAAAUCAUUGGCAGCCGGCCUACUGGUUUCGGAGCGCAGCACAUUAUUUGCGCUCUUGUCCAGCCGCGGUCGCGCGUCCAUGAAGCUUCUUUCAACCUUUUGACCUCGGAUCAGGUAGGGAUACCCGCU